UACGUAGGGUGCGAGCGUUAAUCGGAAUUACUGGGCGUAAAGGGCGCGUAGGCGGCCUGCUAAGUCGGAUGUGAAAUCCCUCGGCUCAACCGAGGAACUGCAUCCGAUACUGGCGGGCUUGAAUCCGGGAGAGGGAUGUGGAAUUCCAGGUGUAGCGGUGAAAUGCGUAGAUAUCUGGAGGAACACCGGUGGCGAAGGCGGCAUCCUGGACCGGUAUUGACGCUGAGGCGCGAAAGCUAGGGGAGCAAACGGG
rnacentral:rRNA from 1 species